GUUAUUUUUGAAUUUUGAUCAUGCAAUAAAAUCAGAUUAAACCAAAGUGAAACCAAAAAGUGUUAGGACUGGAAUGGUUGCGGCUGUUAGGGCGGACAAAUCCGUAUGCGCUUUAGACCAACUUUUGUUUACCAUUCAUAAACUAUACUCAGCAAUAAUGCAUAUUGAGAAAAAUAGAACAAAUUCGCUCUGGAAUCAUUGCAGACCGCAUUUAUGUAGAGAAUAAGUUGCCCCCUGCGGUGAGAGCUCACCUCUUAUGCCACUAUUGGAAAAGAAAUAAUCACUCGUGCCAUUCUUAUGUUUAGAAUAAUAUUAUUGAUUUUUACUAA
rnacentral:sRNA from 1 species